ACGAACGCUGGCGGCGUGCUUAACACAUGCAAGUCGAACGGAAAGGCCCUGCUUUUGUGGGGUGCUCGAGUGGCGAACGGGUGAGUAACACGUGAGUAACCUGCCCUUGACUUUGGGAUAACUUCAGGAAACUGGGGCUAAUACCGGAUAGGAGCUCCUGCUGCAUGGUGGGGGUUGGAAGUUUCCGGCGGUUGGGGAUGGACUCGCGCCUUAUCAGCUUGUUGGUGGGGUAGUGGCUUACCAAGGCUUUGACGGGUAGCCGGCCUGAGAGGGUGACCGGCCACAUUGGGACUGAGAUACGGCCCAGACUCCUACGGGAGGCAGCAGUGGGGAAUAUUGCACAAUGGGCGGAAGCCUGAUGCAGCAACGCCGCGUGCGGGAUGACGGCCUUCGGGUUGUAAACCGCUUUCGCCUGUGACGAAGCGUGAGUGACGGUAAUGGGUAAAGAAGCACCGGCUAACUACGUG
rnacentral:rRNA from 1 species